GGACUGCCGAUAUUGGAGCCCCCGCGCUCCGG
rnacentral:sRNA from 1 species